rnacentral:rRNA from 1 species
UACGUAGGGUGCAAGCGUUGUCCGGAAUUAUUGGGCGUAAAGAGCGUGUAGGCGGCCCGACCAGUCCGCUCUGAAAGCCCGGGGCUCAACCCCGGGAGGCAGGCGGAUACUGUCGGGCUAGAGUCCGGAAGAGGCGAGUGGAAUUCCCGGUGUAGCGGUGAAAUGCGCAGAUAUCGGGAGGAACACCGGUGGCGAAGGCGGUUCUCUGGGCCUGACCUGACGCUGAGGAGCGAAAGCGUGGGGAGCGAACAGG